rnacentral:SRP_RNA from 1 species
GCUUGACGCUGUGGUGUGCGCCUGUAGUCCCAGCUACUUGGGAGGCUGAGGCAGGAGGAUAGCUUGAGCCCAGGAGUUCCAGGCUGUAGUGUGCUAUGCCGAUCGGGUGUCCACACUAAGCUUGGCAUCAAUAUGGUGACCUCCCGGGAGUGGGGGACCACCAGGUUGCCUAAGGAGGGGUGAACUGGCCCAGGUCGGAAAUGGAGCAGGUUAAAACUCCCGUGCUGAUCAGUAGUGGGAUCGCGCCUGUGAAUAGCCACUGCACUCCAGCCUGGGCAACAUGGCAUAUAGCAUUGUUUUCU